GCACAAGCGGUGGAGCAUGUGGUUUAAUUCGACGCAACGCGAAGAACCUUACCAGGGUUUGACAUCCUGAGACCGCCUCUUAAUAGGGGUUUUCCCGCAAGGGACUCAGAGACAGGUGCUGCAUGGCUGUCGUCAGCUCGUGUCGUGAGAUGUUGGGUUAAGUCCCGCAACGAGCGCAACCCUCGCCUUUAGUUGCCAUCAUUCAGUUGGGCACUCUAGAGGGACCGCCGGCGACAAGCCGGAGGAAGGUGGGGAUGACGUCAAGUCCUCAUGGCCCUUACACCCUGGGCUACACACGUGCUACAAUGGCGGUGACAGUGGGCAGCUAACUCGCGAGAGCAAGCUAAUCCCAAAAACUCUCUCUCAGUUCGGAUUGGAGUCUGCAACUCGAGCACAUGAAGUUGGAAUCGCUAGUAAUCGCAGAUCAGCACGCUGCGGUGAAUACGUUCCCGGGC
rnacentral:rRNA from 1 species